AAUAAGCCACAUCCUCUAUGGCCUCUGCAUCAGCUCUUGCCUCCAAGUUCCUGCCCUGACUUCCUUUGGCAAUGAACAGCAAUGUGGAAGUGAGUGCUGAAUAAACCCUUUCCUCCCCAACUUGCUUCUUGGUCAUGAUGUUUGUGCAGGAAUAGAAACCCUGACUUAGACAAAUGGGAUAAUCUGCAUCCAGAAUAAGCAUCUAUUUCUGUGAGGAGGAAGCAAUGCCCCUGCUAAGAAGGAAGUGGUCCAGUGGAAUCAACCUGCCACCAGUUGGGCACUGAUCCUUGAGAACGCGCGCGUGUGCGAGUGCGUGUGUGUGUGUGUGUGUGUGUGUGUGUGUGUGUGUGUGUGUGUGCGCCAAUGCAGGGGUAGGGAGGGAGAGACUGAUAAAAGGACAGGAGAUUAUGGAGGCAAAAGGCAGAACAAGCAAAUUGUCCCAGGAACUCACAGAAAGUACAAACUUCCCAUAAAAGCAUUUUGAAAGUAACAUUUUGCUUUCUAUAAAUGUCACAAAACCACAGGCUUCUGAUGUACCCCUCACUCGUUUUCUUUUAACGGAAACAUCUUCUGGUACUUCGCUGUGUCUGUCAGACUGAAGAGACUGACUCUGGAUCUUCCUGUGCAGCCCUGCUAACACGGAACUUGCUAUGUAGACAUCAAAUUACAGCUAUCUUCUGCCUCUCGGGUUAGAGGAAGAAGAUUACAAAGAAAACUCUGAGAACAAAGCAAUGUUAGUGAAUCAGAGGAGUAUGCAGUGCAAUGCUCUAACUUCGGGACCCUUCUUGGCUGAAAAGCCAGAUUAGUAAACAUUUGAAAUUCGCCUGUGGCAGUGCCCUAUGAAGCACCCUGUGGCAUGAUUCCUAGGCUGGAAGGGGCUGGAGGAAGGACCCUGAGAUCAUUGAUCUUAUUUGCCACUCAUCAGAGGACCACGGGACCUGCCCCUGCUGGCCCUGCUCAUUGAGCAACUGGUGUUACGAAGACACGCAGAAUCCAGAGCCACGGAGGAACACUACGAUUUCGGUGCCUGCCGACAAGAAGUGAGGAGCAAUAGAGGGGUGCCCUCUCACCCUCAGUGCUGUUCACGCGCAGUAGAAAGACCAGUUCUUCGAGACGAAAAGCAUCAAGCUGGUACCUCCUCACUGUGGUUCCUACUGCCAAGCCUGAUGGGGCUGAGUUCCGUCCCCAGACACCACACGAGGGAAGAAGAGAACCGACUCCCAUAAGGUGUUCACCCCACACACAUGGACACAAAAAUAAAUGAAUCAAAAUGUACUGAAGAAGGCUUGAAAGUCACAAGCGGAGCCAUUGCUUGGCAAAAUACGUCUUGACAGAUUCGCCUUCAUGGUGACAGUAGCAAACAAGUAAAACGGUCAUUUUUUUUUUUUUUUUUGGUUCUUUUUUUCGGAGCUGGGGACCGAACCCAGGGCCUUGUGCUUCCUAGGUAAGCGCUCUACCACUGAGCUAAAUCCCCAGUCCAAAACGGUCAUUUUUAUAGACGGGGUGCAGUGUCGAGGGCGGUUGAAUUUAGUGACAGUUUUGCCUGCCCAGGUGCUGCCAGCCCAGCAUUUCCGAGAGUAACUGGUAACUGUGAGACUAUGUAUUCAUAGCAGAAUAUUUAUUUACUCGGUAGCAUUGGUGUUUCUUGAUUUCUCUGCGGCAAAAUUACUAAUGCAAUUGAAAGAAGCAGAUCUUUUUCACAUAAUUUAUAUUACAGUGACAGGAAAGCAGGAGCUGGCAGAGCUGUAAAGGGCCAGGCAAUAAAUAUUUUAAGCUUUAUGAACCAUUCAUCGCUGUUGCAAAUAUUCAACUCAGCUGCAGAAACAGAAGAGCUGCAGACAAAAUGUGAGAUAAUCAUUUUUUUUUUUUUUUGGUUCUUUUUUUCGGAGCUGGGGACCGAACCCAGGGCCUUGUGCUUCCUAGAUAAGCGCUCUACCACUGAGCUAAAUCCCCAGCCCCGAGAUAAUCAUUUGAAUCAAUUCCAGCAUCACCCUAUUUACAAAAACAAGCAUUGUAUCUCAUGUACAUAUACAUAUACAUAUACAUAUACAUAUACAUAUACAUAUACAUAUACAUAUACAUAUACAUAUACAUAUACAUAUACAUAUACAUAUACAUAUACAUAUACAUCAUAUACAUAUACAUAUACAUAUACAUAUACAUAUACAUAUACAUAUACAUAUACAUAUACAUAUACAUAUACAUAUACAUAUACAUAUACAU